rnacentral:misc_RNA from 1 species
GAUGAAGAACGCAGCGAAAUGCGAUAAGUAAUGUGAAUUGCAGAAUUCAGUGAAUCAUCGAAUCUUUGAACGCACAUUGCGCCCCCUGGAAUUCCGGGGGGCAUGCCUGUUCGAGCGUCUCAGGGACGAACCCUCGCGCGGGUGUACGCGCGGUCGUGGCUGCGGUGGCGUGCCCGAGGCGGCGGCCACCGCGCUGGAAUCCAUGGGCGGACGCCUGCCGCGUGGCCGAGCGUGAUAUGACGCAUUGGUGCUCGCACGCGGAGAGGCUGCCAGCCCUGGCCCGUCUGUCGGGCGGGGGAGAGCAAGACACGUGAACUCCUCGAAUCAGGUAGGGAUACCCGCUGAACUUAAGCAUAUCAAUAAGCGGAGGA